UACGUAGGGUGCAAGCGUUGUCCGGAAUCACUGGGCGUAAAGGGCGCGUAGGCGGCCGAGCAAGGCCGUGGUGAAAGCCCGGGGCUCAACCCCGGGUCGGCCAUGGCAACUACUCGGCUGGAGCACAGUAGAGGCAGGCGGAAUUCCGGGUGUAGCGGUGGAAUGCGUAGAGAUCCGGAAGAACACCGGUGGCGAAGGCGGCCUGCUGGGCUGUGGCUGACGCUGAGGCGCGACAGCGUGGGGAGCAAACAGG
rnacentral:rRNA from 1 species